AUCAAGUUUUCAGAAUCCGACUACUUUGGCAAUGUCCUGCAAACCCGCAAGUACUUAGCACAGUCUGAUUUCUUCUGGCUGCGAAAAGCGGUUCCAAAAACUGAGUGGUUCACAAAUCCAACAACCGUCAACGCCUUCUACAGUGCGUCCACCAACCAGAUCCGGUUUCCAGCGGGAGAGCUACAGAAGCCUUUUUUUUGGGGAACAGAAUAUCCUCG